AUUGAACGCUGGCGGCAGGCCUAACACAUGCCAGUCGAGCGGAUGAAGGGAGCUUGCUCCUGGAUUCAGCGGCGGACGGGUGAGUAAUGCCUAGGAAUCUGCCUGGUAGUGGGGGAUAACGUCCGGAAACGGGCGCUAAUACCGAAUACGUCCUGAGGGAGAAAGUGGGGGAUCUUCGGACCUCACGCUAUCAGAUGAGCCUAGGUCGGAUUAGCUAGUUGGUGGGGUAAAGGCCUACCAAGGCGACGAUCCGUAACUGGUCUGAGAGGAUGAUCAGUCACACUGGAACUGAGACACGGUCCAGACUCCUACGGGAGGCAGCAGUGGGGAAUAUUGAACAAUGGGCGAAAGCCUGAUCCAGCCAUGCCGCGUGUGUGAAGAAGGUCUUCGGAUUGUAAAGCACUUUAAGUUGGGAGGAAGGGCAGUAAGUUAAUACCUUGCUGUUUUGACGUUACCAACAGAAUAAGCACCGGCUAACUUCGUG
rnacentral:rRNA from 1 species